GUGCCAGCAGCCGCGGUAAGACGAACCGUCCAAACGUUAUUCGGAAUCACUGGGCUUAAAGGGUGCGUAGGCGGUCUGUUAAGUUGGGUGUGAAAGACCUCGGCUCAACCGAGGAAUAGCGCCCAAAACUAGCGGACUUGAGUAAGGCAGAGGUGAACGGAACUAAGGGUGGAGCGGUGAAAUGCGUUGAUAUCCUUAGGAACACCAGUAGCGAAAGCGGUUCACUGGGCCUUUUCUGACGCUGAUGCACGAAAGCCAGGGGAGCGAACGGGAUUAGAAACCCGUGUAGUCC
rnacentral:rRNA from 1 species